CAAGUGCACACCAUUACUUGCUCACUCCAAGUUAUUUAAUUCAUAAAUAGUGUAAAGGAUUACCGUUCUUGUGAAAAACUUUUAUUACCUUAAUCUAAAGAAAGUUAGUAAACCAGUGGCAUAAACAGAAUUACAGAAUCCAUUACAAACAUUUGUAACUACCUACAAGUUAUUCGUCGCGUCGCGAGCUCGCCGUCGCCUUGUCGCUGACCCGUGUACCACGAAACUGUGAUUUUCGAACGAUAGCGACUGUCGCAAUUGUAGCGGAUCUAUUGGUUUUCAUUAGUCUUUGCUGUAUUGUUGCACUCGACGCAAAACCCUUUGGUAUGGAUGGAUUGGGACUUGGAGGGAUGGGUCCCGGAGGGAUGGGUGUUGGAACUGGGAUGGGAAUGGGCUUAGGUGGAAUGGGUGGAUACUCUAAUGGCGGAGGAUACGGUGGACAACAAUAUGGCGGUGGUGCAAGUGGAAUGGGAAGCCAAGGUUUUGGAUCUUUAGGAGCUGGAGGCUACAACAAUGUCGGAGCACACAACCAUAGAGUUUUAUCUAUAAAUCAAGCGGACGAUUCAGGCUUUCACAAUGUUGGCGGCGGUUCCGCGAUGAAUAAUGGCGGUUAUUCCGGCGGCGGAUACAACGGAUAUGGGAAUGGUGGAUCAGCGUUUGGUAAUGGUUUUGGUAGCGGAAUGCAAGGAAUGAUGAUUUAAUAAUCAAAAUCUUUAGCUUUAAAAUAAUACAUUUAUAUGACAUAACUA